UAAUAUUAUUUUUUUUGUUUUAAUUUAGCAUUCGAAGAACAAAUCUACAGAAGAAGAAUACAGAAGAAGAACAAAUCUAACCCAUGACGUUAUCAAGAGAAAUGCAAGAUGCCAUCGAUAAAUGUGCAUUUUGUAGUGACCUCCUUCUUGGCAUGACUCACGGAAGAAAUUUCCAUGGUUAAACGUUUUCGGCCAACAGGCUUCGCAACUAAAUCAUUGCAGUUGCUGUUGUUGUUUGUAGUUCAACUGGAAAAUCUAUUAAUCAUAAUUGAUGCAAAUUGAUUCCCAUCCCACAAAUGAAAACGAAGCGGCACUAUAUCGCCAGUUUUUCUUUUCUCAACAACAGCCAUUUUUCAAACAAUGCCAAAUGCAGACAGACUACGUCCGACGAGGCAGCAACAAACAGAAAGUUACCUCUUAUCGAAGGCACUAAAUUUUGGUUUGUGUAAAUUUCAUAAUGACAAUGCAAUGCGACGAUGACAACUACAGCGACGAUGGUGAAGGCGACGAGUAACACCGAAAAGUAGGCCAAAGAGAAAAUCUGCAGUUGCAGCAGCAACAACAAACGGCAAUCACCAGCGGCGGUUAUUAGAAAAAGCGGCACAAUUCGCAUGCAAUAGAAGUCAUGCAGGCAUUUCGUACACUUUCUAAUGUUGUUGCAAAAACCAAACCAAAACAACAGCAACAACGACAACGACAACAAAUAAGUGGAAACGGGAAAGCAAAUGAAAAUUGCUACCAUAAUACCUGAGACCAAUAUCUGGUAUCGCAUAUCCGCAGAAGCUUGGCUAUAACAAAACAAAAACAAUGUAAUACCAUACAUAAGUCCGACUGCAUCGAUUCUGCACCAAACCGAUAUGGAUGUUACAGUGAAUGGUUGGAUGGGCGAAAGCGGAGUUGCUGGAGAAAUGAUAAACGGCCAGAGAUUGUAUCAUGUUGACUGUGGCCUAACACCAAGGCAACAAUAACAACAACAUUCGAAACAUGGUACACAUUCACUCAUAAUUAUUGCCAAUGUUGCUAAAUUGUUCCAAUGAAAAUUGUUUUGAUUUUCACAAAUUUUUCGAAUUUUCAAAUGGCAUAAAAUUCUUAGAUAAUGGGAAUUAAAAAUCCAA